rnacentral:rRNA from 1 species
GACGAACGCUGGCGGCGUGCUUAACACAUGCAAGUCGAACGGAAAGGCCCUGCUUGCAGGGUACUCGAGUGGCGAACGGGUGAGUAACACGUGGGUGAUCUGCCCUGCACUUCGGGAUAAGCCUGGGAAACUGGGUCUAAUACCGGAUAGGAGCCAUUUUUAGUGUGAUGGUUGGAAAGUUUUUUCGGUGUAGGAUGAGCUCGCGGCCUAUCAGCUUGUUGGUGGGGUAAUGGCCUACCAAGGCGGCGACGGGUAGCCGGCCUGAGAGGGUGGACGGCCACAUUGGGACUGAGAUACGGCCCAGACUCCUACGGGAGGCAGCAGUGGGGAAUAUUGCACAAUGGGCGCAAGCCUGAUGCAGCGACGCCGCGUGGGGGAUGACGGCCUUCGGGUUGUAAACUCCUUUCGCUAGGGACGAAGCUUUUGUGACGGUACCUAGAUAAAAAGCACCGGCUAACUACGUG